AUUGAACGCUGGCGGCAGGCCUAACACAUGCAAGUCGAGCGAGCGGCGGACGGGUGAGUAAUGUAUGGGGAUCUGCCUGAUGGAGGGGGAUAACUACUGGAAACGGUAGCUAAUACCGCAUACUAUCGGAUGAACCCAGAUGGGAUUAGCUAGUAGGUGGGGUAACGGCUCACCUAGGCGACGAUCUCUAGCUGGUCUGAGAGGAUGAUCAGCCACACGGGAACUGAGACACGGCCCAGACUCCUACGGGAGGCAGCAGUGGGGAAUAUUGCACAAUGGGCGCAAGCCUGAUGCAGCCAUGCCGCGUGUAUGAAGAAGGCCUUCGGGUUGUAAAGUACUUUCAGCGGGGAGGCGUUACCCGCAGAAGAAGCACCGGCUAACUCCGUGCCAGCCGCCGCGGUAAUAC
rnacentral:rRNA from 1 species